ACAAGACUACUAUUACUGCUUAACCCCCCCCCCCCCAUUUUCUAUCUAUAUAUUUAGAGGUCUGCCACAAAAUCCAUUCCACAACUCUGCAGAAGAUGGUUGAAAACUGUAUAGCGGAUGCACUGAGAUAUGCUCCUCCCAGAGGGACUCAGAUUUGGAGUUUUGGAAAUCAUCCAGUCGCAAGAUCUUCGCAAUUAAAAGCAUUGAGUUGGUGAAACUUAAAAGACAAGAGAAUGUGUCUAAAAAGAAAAGUUGAAACAGAGGAAAAUGAAGUACUGGACAGCCUUCAAGAGGUGGAGUUGGAGGUCAAGAAUGAGGCAGCACGCACAACUGAGAGGGUUGAUGAACAAUGCAGUGAGCUGAACAUUGCUGUUAAUCAGAUAAAGGCCAGUGUUGUACAAGUGUUCGAAAAACUUGAUGUUCUAGAUGCAGUCUGUCAGAAAGUCUCUGAUUUAGGUGACACAUUUCAGAUCAUUCCCUCUCUGAGAGAAGCUCUGGCCUGCAGAAUGUGUACCAACAUUCCUAAUACUGUCAUAGUGGUUGCUGCAUGGUGUGGUCAAGUGGCCGGGUGUGGGGAGUGUGUUAUCUGAAUGACAAUGAUGUCUGCCUUCUGUGUAAAACACCAGGGUUCUCCAGCAAACUUGUGUUUCCCAGGGGUUUAAGUGAGGUGUUGGGAAAGUUGAGAUAAGUAAAUUCAAAUGUAGAGAGUGACUGUUAUCAUUAUGGUGCUUUAAUUGAAAUAACUGAAGAUCAGCCAUUGUUAUUUAUACGUCAAUGGCAUGUUUUUUUUUUUUUUGUUUUUUUUUUGUACUGCAUAGUUAAUGAUAUUGUUUUUAUGGCAUAUGUUAAAGUGCUUUAAGUGAUUUUAAGGUACUUUAAACUAAAGGUUAAUAUACAAUCAUUACUUCUGUUCAGGCUAGUGUUUACAAUGCCAACAUCUGAUUGUGAUUUACUCAAAAGUUCAGACAAGCUUCUUUCAGCUUAGGAUUUCCUGCCUGUUUUUUGGCAUCAUGCUUUUUUUUUUUUUUUGGCAGCUAUAUGUGAAAUGGUUCGUUUUACAUGUGACCAUGAAGUGAUUCUUGAAAAUGUGCACCUUGUAAGUGAUAUUUCAAUAUUUUUGUUUGAGAAUGCUUUUAUUUUCAACCUUUAUAUUUCCUGGGCCUGGAUUACUAUAAAGGAAAUGUUUUUACACGGUAUUUGAAUUUUACUUUAUUGAUAUUAUUUCUGAAUACUUGAAUAUGGCCCCUCUGUAUUUCAAUUUGUUACAAAUAAAAAAGUUCUGAUUUACA
ensembl:lncRNA